rnacentral:tRNA from 1 species
GCCUGGCUAGCUCAAUUGGGAGAGCAUCAGACUUUUAAUCUGAGGGGCCAGGGUUCAUGUCCCUGGUCAGGUG